GAUGAAGAACGUAGCGAAAUGCGAUAAGUAAUGCGAAUUGCAGAAUUCAGUGAGUCAUCGAAUCUUUGAACGCACAUUGCGCCCUGUGGUAUUCCGCAGGGCAUGCCUGUUCGAGCGUCAUUUCAACCCUCAAGCUCUGCUUGGUGUUGGGCCCUGCCCGCUGCGGCCGGCCCUAAAGACAGUGGCGGUGCCGCCUGGCCCUGAGCGUAGUACAUCUCUCGCUCCAGUGCCCGGUGGUAGCCUGCCAGAACCCCAACUCUCGUGGUUGACCUCGGAUCAGGUAGGCAUCCCCGCUGAACUUAAGCAUAUCAAUAAGCGGAGAA
rnacentral:misc_RNA from 1 species